AACGAACGCUGGCGGCAGGCCUAACACAUGCAAGUCGAGCGAGGUAGCAAUACCUAGCGGCGGACGGGUUAGUAACGCGUGGGAACAUGCCCAAAGGUACGGAAUAGCCUCGGGAAACUGAGAGUAAUACCGUAUGUGCCCUUCGGGGGAAAGAUUUAUCGCCUUUGGAUCGGCCCGCGUUGGAUUAGGUAGUUGGUGGGGUAAUGGCCUACCAAGCCGACGAUCCAUAGCUGGUUUGAGAGGAUGAUCAGCAACACUGGGACUGAGACACGGCCCAGACUCCUACGGGAGGCAGCAGUGGGGAAUCUUAGACAAUGGGGGAAACCCUGAUCUAGCCAUGCCGCGUGAGCGAUGAAGGCCUUAGGGUUGUAAAGCUCUUUCAGCUGGGAAGAUAAUGACGGUACCAGCAGAAGAAGCCCCGGCUAACUCCGUGCCAGCAGCCGCGGUAAAAAUGCGUACU
rnacentral:rRNA from 1 species